rnacentral:rRNA from 1 species
AUGCCACUGCAUAGCCACCAGACGCCUGCCGCUGCAGCACCGAUCCCUUUUCACCAUGUUCACGAGUACCUACCAGCAUCAUACAUACCUUCAUAUCAUAAAGCAAUCACCAGCCAGCCAGCGCCCAUCCCACCGUUCACGCCCUCCUUCCACCGUUCCACGCAACUACUCCCCAACGUCCACGCCUUCUUCCUCUGCCCCAAGAACUCCCGCUCAGCCUCCCGCCCAGCUCAAGCUCCACCGCGUGCAGAGGGAGAGAGGAAAAGGGAGGAGACGGGGGAGCUCCUGCACGCCGCCCUAGCAUUCAAGCGCACGCGCACACGCAUAUAG